rnacentral:rRNA from 1 species
UUGACUUGGACACUAUUUUUAUGAUCUGAUCUCAAAUCAG